CUCCUCAGUAGCUCAGUGGUAGAGCGAUCGGCUGUUAACCGAUUGGUCGUAGGUUCAAAUCCUUCCUGAGGAGU
rnacentral:tRNA from 1 species